GGAUGAUCCGCCACACUGGGACUGAGACAGGGCCCAGACUCCUACGGGAGGCAGCAGUGGGGAAUUUUGGACAAUGGGCGCAAGCCUGAUCCAGCCAUGCCGCGUGAGUGAAGAAGGCCUUCGGGUUGUAAAGCUCUUUCGGUGGGGAAGAAAUCGCAUUCUUUAAUAGAGGGUGUGGAUGACGGUACCCACAUAAGAAGCACCGGCUAACUACGUGCCAGCAGCCGCGGUAAUACGUAGGGUGCGAGCGUUAAUCGGAAUUACUGGGCGUAAAGCGUGCGCAGGCGGUUGUGUAAGUCAGAUGUGAAAUCCCCGGGCUCAACCUGGGAACUGCAUUCGAGACUGCACGGCUAGAGUGUGGCAGAGGGGGGUGGAAUUCCACGUGUAGCAGUGAAAUGCGUAGAGAUGUGGAGGAACACCGAUGGCGAAGGCAGCCCCCUGGGCCAAGACUGACGCUCAUGCACGAAAGCGUGGGGAGCAAACAGGAUUAGAUACCCUGGUAGUCCACGCCCUAAACGAUGUCAACUAGAUGUUGGAAGGGUUAAACCUUUUAGUGUCGCAGCUAACGCGUGAAGUUGACCGCCUGGGGAGUACGGCCGCAAGGCUAAAACUCAAAGGAAUUGACGGGGACCCGCACAAGCGGUGGAUGAUGUGGAUUAAUUCGAUGCAACGCGAAAAACCUUACCUACCCUUGACAUGUCAGGAACCCUGGAGAGAUCUGGGGGUGCCCGAAAGGGAGCCUGAACACAGGUGCUGCAUGGCUGUCGUCAGCUCGUGUCGUGAGAUGUUGGGUUAAGUCCCGCAACGAGCGCAACCCUUGUCGUUAAUUGCCAUCAUUGAGUUGGGCACUUUAAUGAGACUGCCGGUGACAAACCGGAGGAAGGUGGGGAUGACGUCAAGUCCUCAUGGCCCUUAUGGGUAGGGCCUCACACGUCAUACAAUGGUCGGUUCAGAGGGUUGCCAAGCCGCGAGGCGGAGCUAAUCUCAGAAAGCCGAUCGUAGUCCGGAUUGCAGUCUGCAACUCGACUGCAUGAAGUCGGAAUCGCUAGUAAUCGCGGAUCAGCAUGCCGCGGUGAAUACGUUCCAGGGUCUUGUACACACCCCCGUCACACCAUGGGAGCGGGUUCUGCCAGAAGUAGUUAGCCUAACCGUGAGGAGGGCGAUUACCACGGCAGGGUUCGUGACUGGGGUGAAGUCGUAACAAGGUA
rnacentral:rRNA from 1 species